rnacentral:misc_RNA from 1 species
UUGUUGUUGAUCUUCAUCUCCACCGUUCAGUAUAAUUUCUCUUACAUUACUGCAUUCACUUACAUGCAUCUUGGUGAGAUUCACCAUCCAUCUAGCCGUGGACAAUGUUACUAUGUUUACAAAUAUUUCACACUGCCCCACAUAUAGAGUUGUAAGAUUUUGGAAAGAUGCAGGGAAUGGUGCCAGACUAACCAAACCGUAGCAACUCCUUAUUUCUAGAGUUUCCAGAUUUGGAAGAACGUGGGCUAGUGGAGAUUCAGGACUCCACAUAUGCCCCAUUUUGGGAAGUCCUUCCAGUCUUAAGUAUCUUAUCUGUGCAAGAGCCCUUGCAUUUCUCUCUUCACAAUGAACACCAUAUGGGAAUCGCUCUUCAAAAUCAGAGAAACACACAUGAAGUUUUUCCAUGUUUGGGAAUUUUUGAAGAAGAUCAAAUGGGAAUGCUGAAGUAUCAGGAAAGAAAAAUAGGCCAAGAAAUUUUAGUUUGUUAAAGAGGUCUGCAAAAUGGCCUUGGCAUAUCAUUGUGAUCUCCUUGCUG